rnacentral:rRNA from 1 species
CCCCUGUGAAUUAUACCUUUAAUUGUUGCUUCGGCGGGACUUCGCGCCCGCCGGGGACCCAAACCUUCUGAAUUUUUUAAUAAGUAUCUUCUGAGUGGUUAAAAAAAUGAAUCAAAACUUUCAACAACGGAUCUCUUGGUUCUGGCAUCGAUGAAGAACGCAGCGAAAUGCGAUAAGUAAUGUGAAUUGCAGAAUUCAGUGAAUCAUCGAAUCUUUGAACGCACAUUGCGCCCGUCAGUAUUCUGGCGGGCAUGCCUGUUCGAGCGUCAUUACGCCCCUCAAGUCCCCUGUGGACUUGGUGUUGGGGAUCGGCGAGGCUGGUUUUCCAGCACAGCCGUCCCUUAAAUUAAUUGGCGGUCUCGCCGUGGCCCUCCUCUGCGCAGUAGUAAAACACUCGCAACAGGAGCCCGGCGCGGUCCACUGCCGUAAAACCCCCCAACUUUUUAUAGUUGACCUCGAAUCAGGUAGGACUACCCGCUGAACUUAAGCAUAUCAAUAAGCGGAGGAAAAGA